UCAGCUUUUGUAGUGCGUGAUGCGGGUAUUCGAGGAGUUUAAAAGCCCUCUUGUGCUUGCAGUUGCAUGCUACUGGGGCGCACUUCUUCGUAUUGGUAGGUUAACAUCAAUUUUGGACGUUAUAAAAUGACUGGAGGAAUGUAGCUUCGAUUUUUCGAAGUGUUAUAGCCUUUGGUAAAUGUGACGACCGGGAUUGAGGAUUGCAACGAAUGCUUUUUGGCUAUCCGUCCGGCCUCUGAUGGUUUCUUUGGGGUCGAAAGCGUGCUUACGGCUUCAAAGCUGGCUGUCAAAAGGUUAGAACGCGAUUAAAUUCGUUAAGGAUGUUGACGUAA
rnacentral:rRNA from 1 species